rnacentral:rRNA from 1 species
CCUACGGGAGGCUGCAGUGGGGAAUAUCGCACAAUGGGCGCAAGCCUGAUGCAGCCAUGCCGCGUGUGUGAAGAAGGCCUUCGGGUUGUAAAGCACUUUCAGCGGGGAGGAAGGCGUUAAGGUUAAUAACCUUGGCGAUUGACGUUACCCGCAGAAGAAGCACCGGCUAACUCCGUGCCAGCAGCCGCGGUAAUACGGAGGGUGCAAGCGUUAAUCGGAAUUACUGGGCGUAAAGCGCACGCAGGCGGUCUGUCAAGUCGGAUGUGAAAUCCCCGGGCUCAACCUGGGAACUGCAUUCGAAACUGGCAGGCUAGAGUCUUGUAGAGGGGGGUAGAAUUCCAGGUGUAGCGGUGAAAUGCGUAGAGAUCUGGAGGAAUACCGGUGGCGAAGGCGGCCCCCUGGACAAAGACUGACGCUCAGGUGCGAAAGCGUGGGGAGCAAACAGGAUUAGAUACCCUAGUAGUC